UACGUAGGGGGCGAGCGUUGUCCGGAAUUAUUGGGCUUAAAGAGCGUGUAGGCGGUUCGGUAAGUCUACUGUGAAAUUCUGGGGCUUAACCCUGGGCGUGCAGCGGAUACUGCCGGGCUAGAGGAUGGUAGAGGCGAGUGGAAUUCGGAAUGUAGCGGUGAAAUGCGCAGAUAUUCGGAGGAACACCAGUAGCGAAGGCGGCUCGCUGGGCCAUACCUGACGCUGAGACGCGAAAGCGUGGGGAGCGAACAGG
rnacentral:rRNA from 1 species